rnacentral:misc_RNA from 1 species
CAAGUCCCUAUCUGAAACUUUCCGGAUUCGACUUCGGUUGGUCUGGGUAUAUUGGCGCGUUGGAUCAGCAAUUGCGUUGGUCUAGCGAGCCAAGGAAUUGACGGAUGGGUUCCACUUUGUGGGCCUGUUAUAUAUUCGGGAUUGACGGAAAUUCUCGGCCAUACCUGGGGUCAAUGGAUUAAUUUCUAUUGCAUCUCAUAAGUACGGUCCUUGUUGGCUGGGGUGCCUAUCCUGUCUGAUACCUGUUAUGGUGUGCUCGUGGCUUCGGCUGCCAGUUCAUGCCUAGGUGAUGGGACAGUACUGUAUCUAUCUCAGUGCUAGGCUUAAUGAGAAGUCGUGACCAUGUGUCCGGCUUCCGCCCCAUUUCAUUGUUUCAAACACCAUUUUACACUGUUUAAGUUAGUUGGGUCGGCCUAGCCGGUCUGAUUAGCUGCCCCUGCAUGCCUCCGGUUGUCUUGUAUGACUGGUACGCAUGUCCAGUCGCCUGGCGGUGCCUCAUCCUGGGCUUGACUGUAAAACCAUGUGUUCUCAAUUAUUCGGUUUACCGGGUUUUUGAGGGCAUUGUAGUA